GGAUUCCAGGGCUGCUCAAGAGAAGCCUCCAUCCCGGCGUGGAUGACCUCAGGAUCAGCCCCGUCUGCCCCACUCAGCCCGCAGCCUGGUCCCCGAGAGCGCUCUGUCAGAUCGAGAGCAGCGUAGCGGCGCCCCCGUGUGGCCACAGGGCUGAAGACAGAGGACCCCGCUCCCCUUUCUCCCCAGCCAGGACCUCCCAGGCUGUCCCUCUGUUCCCAGCACCUGGACGGCGCUCUGCACACAAGGGAGUCUCCCGGUCUCGUGUCAGGCUCUGAGUUCAUCCAGCUUCCCAAAAUCCAUGUUGAUAUGAACGUUUUCUCCCACAACUGAUUGACUGGACUUUUGUCUCAGGGCAGAGAGAGGCCUCCAGACCAAAACAGAAGGAUCAGGUCUGGAGCUGACUCAACCCCAAACCCUUGCUUAUGCACGACCCAGUCCCCCAGCCUCCAGGAUGGGACCUUGGCCUCCUGUCCCCUCCCUCGUUCCUGCCACUGCUUCUGCAGGUGGGUGCUGCUCAUCCCAGGAAUCAGUCUGUGAGCUCCAACCUUGGGGCCUCGGUCCAGGAAGGAGGGAGGCUCCAGAGAGCAGAAGGGAGAUGAAAUGGAUCAUAAGAGAAGAAGGAAUCAUACCCAACACUGGAACUGACCUUUAUGAUGCUCAGGAAUGUCCUGAUGUCAGCGGAGAUGAAGGAAAACCAGAGAGUCAAAAGUCAAAGGAAAGGGCCAUUUAUCAUAAUUCAUAUCAUACAUAUAUCCUGGAAAAAAAAAAGAAAAAUUCCUUGCGGAAAAAGCAUCAAAAUCAUCAGGAAGUCUUCCACACAGAAAUGACUUCAUUAAUUUGAUCUCUGUCAUUCUUUCUUUUCAUUCAUGUAUUAUUAUCCAUAGAGAUUUCUAUCCUGUGGGUUUUUUAUUUAAUUUUUGUUUGUUUGGUUUUUUCAGACACAGUGAGACCCUGUCUCAAACAAACAAACAAACCUUACAGGCUGCAGUGCAGUGGCACAAUCAUUGCUCACUGCAGCCUCGACCUCCCUGUCUGAAGCAAUCCGCCAGCCUCAGCCUCCUGAGUAGCUGAAACUACAGGAAUGUGCCACCAUGCCCAACUAAUUUUUUAAAAAAUUUUUUUGUAGAGAUGAGGUAUCACUAUGUUGCCGAGGCUGGUCUCAAACUCCUGGGUUCAAACAAUUCACCCACCUUGGCUCCCCAAAAUGCUGGGAUUACAAGCCUGAGCCACGUACCCAGCCUCUAUCCCGUGUUUUGAUUCAUCAUCAUCUCCUAAGCCCUUUCCCAGCAUCGAUAGUCUACAAAACAUGCCAUGAUUAAAUUAUAUCUCUAUACCUUGAUAUAAACAAAAAAUUAUAUGAGCAGUAAAGACAAAUAUGAAAAAGUAAAAUUACUGCCAAAGUUAUUAGGAGGAUAACCUAAAUUAUUUGGGUAGGAAAAUCUUUCUUUAUUAUUUUGGUUUUUUUUUCCAGUCAGGGUCUCAUUCUGUCACUCAGGCUAAAUUACAGUGGGCUGAUCAUGGCUCACUGCAGCCUUGACCUCCCAAGAUUCGGGUGAUCCUCUUGCCUCAGCCCCCUGAGUAGCUGAGACAACAGGCGUGUGCGACAACGACCGGCUCAUUUUUGUAUUUUUAGUAGAGAUGGGGUUUUGCCGUGUUACCCAGGCUGGUCUCAAACUUCUAGGCUCAAACGAUCCACCCACCUCAGCCUCCCAAAGUGCUGGGAUUACAGGCAUAAGCCACUGUGCCAGCCUCUUUUUUUUUUUUUUAACAUCUGCUGGAAUGGAAAAUGUUUCUUAAAUGAGACACAAAUGUAUCAAAUUGAAAAUGUUUAAACUUCAAAGGACUUAUAUACAUAUACAGUCAUUAUUUGAUUAAUGGUGAGAUAGCUUCUGAGAAAUGAGUCCUUAGGUGAUUUUGUCAUGUGUGGACAUCAUAGAGUGUCCUUACAUGAACCUAGAUGGUAUAACCUACUUCACACCUAGGCUACAUGAUAAGCCCAUUGCUUCUAGGCUGCAAAUUAUAUAGCAUGUUACCGUAUGGAACAUUGCAGCCAAUUCUAACACAAUGGUAAGUGUUUGUGGAUCUAAGCAUGUGUAAACAGAGAAAAGGUACAGUAAAAAUGUGGUUAAUAAAAAGAUCUUUAAAAUGG
rnacentral:lncRNA from 1 species